rnacentral:rRNA from 1 species
CGGAGAGACCUGCGGAGGAUCAUUAGUGAAUUUGUAGCCUCCAGGCUCACAUUCUCUAUCCUUUACACACCUGUGCACCCUUCUGAAGCGGAGAGUUAUUAGGCAUUUGCCGAGCGCCUCCCUUCGGUUAUCAUAUCAACUUCAAACUACGUUUACUAGAAUGUAUACCGUCUUGUUGUAACGACAAGUACAAUCCAAUAAAACUUUCAGCAACGGAUCUCUUGGCUCAGGCAUCGAUGAAGAACGCAGCGAAAUGCGAUAAGUAAUGUGAAUUGCAGAAUCCAGUGAAUCAUCGAAUCUUUGAACGCAACUUGCGCCCUCUGGUAUUCCGGAGGGCAUGCCUGUUUGAGUGUCGUGAACACCUCAACCCUCCAAUGUUUUUGCAUUGAAGGCGUUGGUAUUGAGCGCUGCCGGACUUUUGAAUCGGCUCGCUUUAAAAUCAUUAGCUGGAUCCAUUCUGACCUGGUUCUACUCGGCGUAAUAAGUUAUUAUCGUCGAGGACGCCUAGCCUUCUAGGCAGGCGGCCACAGUAAGGGUGUUUGAACCGCUUCCAAACACGUCUUGCUCUUGUAGCAAACACUUGAACCUCUGACCUCAAAUCAGGCAGGACUACCCGCUGAACUUAAGCAUAUCAU